rnacentral:rRNA from 1 species
AGAGUUUGAUCAUGGCUCAGGAUGAACGCUGGCGGCGUGCCUAAUACAUGCAAGUCGAACGGGAUUGCGGCUUCGGUCGCAUGAGAGUGGCGCACGGGUGAGUAACGCGUAACUGAUCUGCCCCGCAUUCUGGGAUAACCUUUGGAAACAGGGGCUAAUGCCGGAUGAUUUCCUGGUGGUUAGGUUCAUUGGGAGCAAAGCGAAUGCGAUGCGGGAUGGGGUUGCGUUCCAUCAGCUGGUUGGUGAGGUAAGGGCUCACCAAGGCGAUGACGGAUAGGGGAUCUGAGAGGGUGGCCCCCCACACUGGGACUGAGACACGGCCCAGACUCCUGCGGGAGGCAGCAGUAAGGGAUAUUGCACAAUGGGCGGAAGCCUGAUGCAGCGACGCCGCGUGGGCGAAGAAGGUUUUCGGAUCGUAAAGUCCUUUUCUGCGUGACGAUGAUGACGGUAGCGCAGGAAUAAGCGUCGGCUAACUACGUGCCAGCAGCCGCGGUAAAACGUACGACGCGAGCGUUAUCCGGAGUUACUGGGCGUAAAGCGCGCGCAGGCGGGCGCAUAAGU